UUAAGAAAAUAUUUAAGUCUUACGAAAAAGCGUUGAGCACAAAUCAAAAUGAAAUUAAACAAAAUAGUUGAUUGAGGGUUGCACAUCACACUGCGCAAAUUUGCGUGACAAACUUUCCACGCAAACUUGCCCUUUUUGUGCAAAUAGCUUUCCAUACAAAUUUUGACAUUUCAUUUGCGAGGGUUUUAAAUUGUACAGUUUGCCCAGUUUGCGAGAGUUUUGCGCUUUUAAAUGAGUACCCUUAAUGUGAAUAUAUAUACAAAAAAAAAGUGUGAUAUU